rnacentral:rRNA from 1 species
CCUACGGGAGGCAGCAGUGAGGAAUAUUGGUCAAUGGACGAGAGUCUGAACCAGCCAAGUCGCGUGAAGGAUGACUGUCCUAUGGGUUGUAAACUUCUUUUAUAAUGGAAUAAAACGUGGCACGUGUGCCUUUUUGCAUGUACUUUAUGAAUAAGGAUCGGCUAACUCCGUGCCAGCAGCCGCGGUAAUACGGAGGAUCCGAGCGUUAUCCGGUUUUAUUGGGUUUAAAGGGAGCGUAGGUGGGUUGUUAAGUCAGGUGUGAAAGUUUGCGGCUCAACCGUAACAUUGCAGUUGAUACUGGCAGUCUUGAGUACAGUAGAGGUAGGCGGAAUGCGUGGUGUAGCGGUGAAAUGCUUAGAUAUCGCGAAGAACCCCGAUUGCGAAGGCAGCAUACUAACCUGUGACUGACAUUGAUGCUCGAAAGUGUGGGUAUCAAACAGGAUUAGAUACCCUAGUAGUC